rnacentral:lncRNA from 1 species
GUAAGAGACAAAAGAAGCUAUACAGCUGCACAUGUUCACUCUUUCUAGCAAGCAAAGGUGAAAAAGUGGAUGGUUUUAUCGCACUAGCAUUGUAGCUCAUGAAUCAUGAUAGCUGUAUCAAUCAAACGGAGCAAAACAAAAUGAGACACUCAAAAAUUGUUCCUUCAAAAAGCACUAGAUAGUCAACUUUUCAGAGCUCCCAGUGGAUUCAACCUCCAAAAGGCACUCUUAAGUAGUAAAUGAAGUUGUAAAGGCAAGAUGCAUGGAAUUGAAUACCCUGGUCAAAAGUUCACAUGAACAUAUUGAUUGGUGAAGGAAAAAGACUUGCAUGCUCAAAUAAAACAACAGUUACUACUAAGCCUAAAUCGCUAAGUAGUUGGUGUCGGCUACCUGAAUUCUCUACUGAUACCACACUAUUUUGGCUGUUUCGUUCCACUGCUCAGUAACUUUGCCUCUUUUAAGGACAAAUUAGGGACUUUUGGGAGCUAGGAAUUCCCUGUAUGCCACUCCUAUCUCUACACUAUCAUACAUGCUAGUUUAUACAUGUAUGGAUAUUCUCCACCAAUGGUAUCAACAAGGAGCUUCAUUGUUUUAUGACACAGGAUCAUAGCACUGAGGGCGGUUUUUUUUCCUUUGACAAAGUAAUAAAAUUUUAUUGAUGAAGGGUGUGAAACACCUGUGUACACCAAAAAAUAUAAAGUCUUAUGGUUUUCUACAAAAGCCACCCAAUCUUCUACACAAAUAGGAAUCCUAUAGAUGCAUUAAAAAGCGAUAAGGGUUAAGAGGCUACUCAUCAAUCAUACAUGAUUUUCACAUAAAAUGCACAUAAGAACACAAUUUCCAAUAAUUACCACAAUAAACCUACAGUAUAAUAGCAAUGCAGCUAAAUUUUUAAUAGAGCUACCAUUUUUACCAAAGAACUACCACAUAGCAAAAUAAUUUUUAAAAAAGAAGUGUCAAAAAUGCUUCUAACCUAUUGGAUUUAGCUUAAGUUUAUCCUCCAUACACCUAUUGAACCGUAAAAGCCCUUAAUGUUCAUUUUGGACUAAAACUACCCCUAAUAUUAACAUUUGCCUAACCUUCCAUUUUAAACCCCCUCUUCUUCUUCCACAAUGCAAAAGAACCCAGACAUCCUUAGCUUCCAUUUUCCUUCUUCUACAAAUUCACUAGACCUAUCCCAUUCUUGAUUAACAAUAUGACCCAUUUACUUUUCCUGCAAGGUAAUGGUUGCAUCGGCACUCUUCCAAGCAUCAACCUACAAUGCCUUGUAAAUUUCAGUGUCUCAAACAAUCAUCUCAAUGGGUCCAUAUUAGGUAUUCUGUUAGUAUUCCCUGCUAGCUUCAUCUUUUUCUGAUAGUAUUUAUUGUGGCGGUCCAUUGCCACCUUGUAUUCAUUUUUUCCUUCACCCUCACCUUCAUCUUCACUAAAAUAUGUUCAUAAGAAAUCCAAAAAGCUCUAUGCAGCAGCCAUUGUUGCAAUAUCAAUUGGCUCAAUGCUUGGGCUUCUCAUAUUGUUGUUGAUUCUUUACCUUCGUAUACUGGAAAGAGAACUCAGAUAGCAUCGAUUAUCGAUGCAUGCCGACGUUGUCAAGGCUCUGCCAGGCACCAGCUUUAGAAUGGAGAAGAUUGGCAUCCUGCGAGCCUCUACGAGGUGAAUGAAAUUAAAGUUACUUACCGGGAAUUUGGCUAAGCUAUACCAAUCCCGGCACCGCCUCUAUGGCGUAGGAAUCUUCCAUCACCGGAAAUUUCAUUGUGAUCCACGACGCUCCGCCAAUUUUGCAGUUAGGGCUCUCUACGACCUCAAGUUAAGCAUGGGCUCCCUUUCCAAUAACUUGAAGUUCUGAGUCUAUUGAUACGUACUUAGAGACAAUUUCUGCCGAUCCAGAGUCUAAUUUGUGAGCUUCCUGAUAACCUUAGGAGUCUUAAAAAGCUUGUUAAUCUGGACCUUUCGUUAAAAACUUGUAUCACUCAAUGAGUUCAACUACUGAUGUGCAUAUUGAGUUGUAUAACAACUCGUUUACCGGUGAGUUCCCAGCGAAAAGAAGUUUAAAGAUGACAGCAGCUGUGGUUUUUUGGGUUCCGGUUUGGUCGGUUUAAGAGACUACUCCUCAAUCAUUCAGGAAUUUCACAUAAGAAUACAAUUCCCAAUAUUUACCACAACAACCAACAGAAAAAUAGCAGUGCAGCUAAAUGCUUAAUAGAGUUACCAUUAUUAGCAAAGAAUUUCCAAAAAACUAAGCGAGCUAA